AUUCCAUGAUGAGGGCACUUUCGUAAUAAUUCUUGGUAUAUUUCCAAUGCCUCAUACAAGGACUCAUCAUCUUGUUGGAAAGUAGUGAUCUCAUUCCUCAAUUU
rnacentral:snoRNA from 1 species